AGGUGGAGACAAGGUAGAGAAUGUUAGGAUUUGGUUAGAUUUGUAGUUGAUUUUCUAGUUACAUAAGAAUUAAUAUUUAAAUUUGUUGGAGAUAAAUUAAGAUUUAAAUAUUAAUUAGAGUAUGAAUCUAACUAGAUUAGGAUAAAUAUUUAAAUCUAUUGGAAAUAAAUAAAAUAUAGAUUUAAAUGUUAAUUGGAGUAGGAAUUCUAAUUGGACUAGGAUUCGCGUACGUUUUAGAGGAUGCAUUAUAAAAGCACCCUUUGGGAUGCUUUUGGAGCAGAGAGAGUACGAUGAGAGAGAGUGCCUUCUUGGGUGAAACCAUACUAGGAGAGAGAAAGUAAUGGUUGCAUGCACCUAGUGCACGGGUGCAUGUGAGAAAGAAAAAGAGAGAGUUGUCUUCUUUGUGGGUUUAUAGAAGACGAGAGAAGGAUAGGAGAGAUUCAAGAAAGAGGGCUCGGAUUGUAGCUACUCUAUGCAAAAAAGGAGUGAGGUGUAAUCUUCUCUUAUUUAAUGAAUCUUAUUUUAUCCGCAUAUUUUCUGUUUUUGGUUUUUCUCUCUUUUGUGAUUGUAUUAGCUUUUGCUGAAGAGACGGGUUUAUGGUAAAAACCCGAUUCGACGCUUCCGUUGCAGAAUCUCAACAAUCAGUACCAGAUCAA
rnacentral:lncRNA from 1 species